GCCUCCGUAGUCCAACGGUAGAGACAGCGGCAUGAGGUGCCGUGUGUGGGGGUUCGAAUCCCUCCGGAGGUAC
rnacentral:tRNA from 1 species